rnacentral:rRNA from 1 species
UACGGAGGGGGCUAGCGUUGUUCGGAAUUACUGGGCGUAAAGCGCACGUAGGCGGCUUUGCAAGUUAGAGGUGAAAGCCCAGGGCUCAACUCCGGAAUUGCCUUUAAAACUGCAUCGCUAGAAUUGUGGAGAGGUAAGUGGAAUUCCGAGUGUAGAGGUGAAAUUCGUAGAUAUUCGGAAGAACACCAGUGGCGAAGGCGACUUACUGGACACAUAUUGACGCUGAGGUGCGAAAGCGUGGGGAGCAAACAGG